rnacentral:lncRNA from 1 species
UGUCUCAAUAUCCACUGUUUGUCAGUUGUUCUUUCAAGUAAAAAUGGCACUCCUUGACCAAAAAAGUGGUUAGUUCAGCUCACAAUUCAAACUAUUGCACAAAUUCUUUUCCACCAGACAACCAUCAUACUUCGGCAUACAGUGGAAGUGUUUAUGUGUACUUACUUCAUCACCCAGAAUAUCAAGAACACAUGUACUCAGGGGCUGACAUUCAAUAAAAUAAUUUUUCCUCCUUCAUCGAGAACACUCAAGUGAGACUGGCCUCUAUUUCCUUCCUUCUUUCUCUCUCUCUCUCUCUCUCUCCCUCCCUACUUCCUUCUUGGUCUUCCUCCUUCUCUCUUUCUCAUUCUUUCUUUCCUUUUCUUCUUUCUUUCCUUCCUUCUUUCUUUACUUGUUGCUUUCUUUCCCCCUCCUUCCCCUCCUCCCUUCCUUCCUCUUUCUUUCUGCAAGUGCCUGGCAGUGAAGAAUACAAUGACUAGGAGUAGUAUAGCUUGGUGCCACUCCUUAAUUUGUGCUAAGGGACUAAUAGUUUUACCUACCAUUGCUUUUGCACCAUCAAUGUAAUAUCAACAUAGGAAAAAAAUGGCAUAUCAUGUCUAAAAAUUUUUGAAAAUAGUUUUAACCUUACAACUCCCAUAAAGGGUCUCAGGGACCGUUGUUCUAUUUACUGCUUGGUUCAAAAGUAUUUUGCUGGGGCUGGCCUGGUGGUGUAAUGGUUAGGUUUGCAAGCUCCGCUUUGAUGGCCCAGGGUUCGUGGGUUCAGAUCCUGGUCAUGGACCUACACACCGCUCAUCAAGCCAUGCUGUGGCGAUAUCCCACAUACAAAACAGAGGAAGAUUGGCACAGGUGUUAGUUCAGGGACAAUCUUCCUCACACUCACACAAAAAGCAUUUUGCUUAAGAAAUCACAUACUAACUCAUUUUUGGUUGUUUCAUCAGAAUAAGUCACUUUUAAAAUCUUUUCUAAUAGUUGGAAUCUUUUAUUUAAAAAGCCACUUUUUUGAUAUA